rnacentral:rRNA from 1 species
ACGGAGGCCCCGAGCGUUGUUCGGAUUUACUGGGCUUAAAGCGCGUGUAGGCGGAUCGGUACGUACCUUGUGAAAGCCCUCGGCUCAACCGAGGAAUUGCUCGGUAUACGGCCGGUCUUGAGGCAGGUAGAGGUGCCUGGAACCUUAGGUGGAGCGGUGAAAUGCGUAGAUAUCUAAGGGAACGCCGGUGGCGAAAGCGGGGCACUGGGCCUGUCCUGACGCUAAGACGCGAAAGCGUAGGGAGCAAACGG